UACGGAGGGUGCAAGCGUUAUCCGGAUUCACUGGGUUUAAAGGGUGCGUAGGUGGGCAGGUAAGUCAGUGGUGAAAUCCUGUAGCUUAACUACAGAACUGCCAUUGAUACUAUUUGUCUUGAAUACCCUGGAGGUGAGCGGAAUAUGUCAUGUAGCGGUGAACUGCUUAGAUAUGACAUAGAACAUCUAUUGCGAAGGCAGCUCACUACGGGAAUAUUGACGCUGAGGCACGAAAGCGUGGGGAUCAAACAGG
rnacentral:rRNA from 1 species